GAGAAAAGUUGUUGUUGUUUUGUUUUGCGCCCCUUCCCAGGGCUGUGGUGCCUGGAGGGUUCCUUUUUCUCUUUGGGGUGGAAAUGAAAGGACCUGAGAGUCAGGGCCCUUGCAGGUCCCCUGGUGCCCUGUUUGCACUAGGCAGAGGCUCAUUAGCAGUCUCCCUCCAGGCUGCAUCUCUCCUGAGAAUGGAGGGAAAAGACCCACAGAAAAGAGGCUGUAUGCAACUGCUCAGGAACGCAAGCUGUAACAGGCAGCUGGAGGGGCUCAGGGCUCACUGCUGGGAUCUGCAGCCUCGCCAUUGAAAGCAAGAAGCAGUCCCAGCUGCUGGGCCCUCAGCUGCUUGCCUGGGCACUGUGGCGUCCAAGUUCCCGGUACUGGAGAGGCUGAAGAUGGGAGGGAAGCUGUUUGGGGUGGAGAGGGGUUAGAGUAGAGGUGAUGGUUCGUUAGAAAACAACCAGAAAGAGGACACCCUUAUCCUGGUGCUGCUCGCACCAUCCCUCGGAUGUUAACCCUAAGUUAGCCAGCAUCUGGGAGCCCAGACAUCGGUGAAGUUUCCCCUGCUGAGCUGCCAGCUCACGGCAUGGUAGCAUUGUGGCUUUGACGGCAACAUCCAGGAGGAUGUCAAUGGGCCAGCGCGUACAUUUAUUCCCAUCUACGUGUUCCAAGGGCCUUUGGAACAGAACAUGGACAAACUCAGAGAACUGUCUGCAGAUUUGUUCCCUUUCUGGGUCUUCUCUGUUCCCAUCCUCUUCUGAGGUUUAGCUAUCGUUGGUUUUGGUUUUCUUUUACUGUCCUCACAUCAAAUCCUUCAAAACGCUUCAUCAGCCCUACCAGAAACCACACCAAGUCCAUCCGCUGCUCUCCGAGGCCGUGGCCUUCCCACCACCACCAUCCCCUCCGCAGCUCUCUGCUCGGCAGACCCAAAGUUAGAAUUUGCUGCUCUUCUGCUGAAAACCUGCUCUUCUGGGCCAAGUUCUCUGGGAAGCCAGUGGCGAGGUGGCACCAAAGAUGAAGGAGCGAGCAGAGACAGGAGGUGACAGAGAGAAAGCAUGCAGACCAGAAUGUCACAGAUGACACGUCUGAAGGGCAGGCAGAGGGGAGAUGGUACAGAGAGUCUUGCUCUGCAGCACAACCAAGAAAAGCAUGAAGGGGAGAACCGAGGGACCCUGUCACCAUCUCAUCAGCCUUGAGAAAGACUAACAAUAAAACUACCGAGGAAAAGUGGAGGGGUCAAAACCAGAGGAUGCUUACCUAAGCUGUUCAGAGCUUUGAGCAUAAGGACCGGCAUGGGAAACAGAAGAAGGUGUAUGGGGUCGAUAAGGUGGGAACAGGGGCCCUGUCCCUGGAAGAACGCACUGUGGGGUACUCUUUCUCCCUCCAUGCCCCACAGCUGUGAAUGCCAUUCUGCCACCACCACUAGCCCCAGGACAGUGGCAUUUCGGAGCAGAUGGUGAAGAUGAGGAAGAAGCCCUUCCAGUGUCCAACUUGAGGUGCUGCGAGGAGGCUCGCUUUUGUGGGCUAGUGUUAGGGGGUUCUGUGGAGGCAGCAGGAGGAGAAAGGCAGUGCACAGACCUUUUUGACAUUUCCACGUGUUUCCAGUUGGUGGCCCUGAACAAGAACUACUUCUCCUCCUUGGACCCUCACCCCUCAACUGCCUUAAACGGCCUGAAAUUUCCAAUCUUCUCAAAUCCUCUGGAGUAGCGGAACACAUACUGUAUGUGCUGUGCUCACGCAUCAUCCCCAAACAAUCACAAAAAUCUCAGCCGGGGCCCAGCAGCUGCUGCACAGAUGUUCUGCAAAGCAGCUGGAGCAUUGUUUGUUCUCAAUAAACACCACCUCUGAGGCAGAAGACGUGAGAGCCGAGCUGGAAGUGGUGACAACAGCCGCCAUGAAGACCAGAGACCGAGAGUGGACCCCCGCCCCCCUCAGCGGGCACUGCCCGCUGCUCUCACAGCCUGCUGUGACUGAGGUGCCGAGUGUUAGUGGGUCCAAGGCCCCGAUCUGUGCCAGAUGACCAGUUUGCCAUUAGAGCUCAGAGGUGUCCGCUAAAUCCCACCUCCCGGCUUGUGGUUCCCAAGCCCCGAACCCCUUGCCACAUUCCUCAGAGGUAUGAGAAGAUGGAGCUCCGUGUGUGUUAAUGGCUUGCUCGCUCGUGCUGUGGCUAGCUGCGGCCAGUUGUAGAAGCCACAGAGCUGACUCUCCAGGACGAGCUGUUAGCGUUCCUCUCAUUUCUGAAAGACAGUGAAAACUGCUGCCUUAACCAGCCCUGUUCAGAAGUUCAUCAAGCAGUUCGUGUGCUCACCAGCAGGGGGCGGUGAAGCCAGCGCUAUUGUGCCAGCACUCCACCGGGCUUGAGCCUAGAUGCGAACCAAGGGCAGGAUCCUAGCUCAGCUCUCGUUCUGCUGAUGUACAAGCAAGGACCUACAUAGUGACAUACUGUGCCACGGUGCUUGGCUAGGUCGCAGUAACUAAAGCAGGACCCCAGGCCCCUGAGGCCAACACCUACUUCCUUAGUCUGUCCGUAGCUGGACCUUCCAAGUGAAAAGCCGUUGUUGGCGGAUUAGCUCAGAAGCCGUGAGAGACGUAGGAAGAUGUGAGAAAUGUGAGGACAGACCAAGCGUCCCUAGGAGGGACAAGCCUGCCCUGAAGGCUGGGGCUCCAUCUGGCGUGCACCCAGGCAAGCUAAGAUCCCAUGUAAGUACCAUUUGCUGCUUGGGGUGUUUCGGCCUAGCACAGACCACCCUCCCAGAGGUCAUCCAAAUCAGGGCUCAGGGAUGGAGUCACCACGGUGUCUACACACCUUCCGACACUGGCCAUCUGCCCCUCAGCUCAGGUACCAGUCAGAACGGACUCCUCUCUCGAUGGGCUCUCCCCGGCCAGUCCUCAGCUCACGUGGCAGCAUUCUCUCUGUCCAGCCCUUUGCCGGAGGAUGCUUUAGAGCCCCCGUCUUCAGAGGCCACGUUGAUCUCUUACAGCCUCCAUCGCCUCAGCCUAGGUGACAAGGGACCCACACCCAGCUAGCCCCAGGGCCUUCAUGUUCACGCCAGUUCCACACCGCCUUUGUGGCAACUCUGAACACAUCUCUUAAGAGAUACCUGGUGGGGCCAUCCUCUCCCCACACUGAAGCUGAGAGGCUGCUCAAAUAUCCAGGUAAAACUAGGGAAACAAUCCCCAAUCUGCAAAGCAGCUGGGGACAAACGGACGCGUGCACGAGGACAGCAUUCCCUGCGGCUACAUCUUCAGUGACAAUGCUCCCAGAGUGAGGUGGCGGGGUCAAAACACCAUGGCCGGAAGGAUGAGCACGUGGCAGGCAGGGCUGCUGAUCGCCUACUGGGGGCACUGGGAGGGAGUCCAAGGUGGUUGCUCUUGACCUGUGCAAGAGGGAGGCCACUCCUGACAGGAGCCCAGGGCAGCAGCAAACACCUUCUGCAGAGGAAACAUAAGGAGCGUUGUGAGCAGAGAAACAACCCAGCUAAGCAAAGCCACCAGGUGCUCGGACACCAUGGCCCCUGCAAGCUGCCCUCGGCACCUCAUUCCGUCCUGGGAACUGCUUUCAGACUUCCUGGUUGCAUCCUCAGCUUUUCUGAACACUCAUGCUGAAGCUCAUGAGGGGGAAGCUGAGUGAGGCCUGCAGCCUCUCGGCUCCGUUAGGUUCCCACUUCCCUUCUCAGACUCGUGGACAGCCUCACUGCUAUUUAAUGUGCACAUGCCACGCUGUGAUCUCCCCUUAAAGACGUGCAUUUCAGAGGCACGUUUCCAUGUAUGGACACGGGCAGCGUGCCCGCCUAUUCCAACGGCUCUGCAGUGGUCUGGCAUGGGAACAGCUCCGGCCGCGCUUAGUAAUUGUAGGAUCGCUGUGUCUGGGUGGUGGCCAGCACCUGGCUAUCAAGCCCAGCGCCGCUGCUGCCUCCUCUAGGUGGCGUUUCCACUGGCAGCUGCUUUGCUGCUCCAGGGUUUC